GGUGCUAUAUCUCAGCUGGUAGAGCUCCUGCUUUGCACGCAGGAGGUCUGCGGUUCGAUCCCGCAUAGCUCCACCA
rnacentral:tRNA from 1 species